UACGUAGGGUGCGAGCGUUGCCCGGAUUUAUUGGGCGUAAAGGGCGCGUAGGCGGCCAGCACAAGUCAGUUGUGAAAUCUCCGAGCUUAACUCGGAAAGGUCAACUGAUACUGUGCGGCUAGAGUGCGGAAGGGGCAACUGGAAUUCUUGGUGUAGCGGUGAAAUGCGUAGAUAUCAAGAGGAACACCAGCGGCGAAGGCGGCAUCCUGGACUGGUCCUGACACUCAGGAGCGAAAGCGUGGGGAGCGAUCCGG
rnacentral:rRNA from 1 species